ACGUACACUCCUGCGGGAGGCAGCAGUGGGGAAUAUUGGACAAUGGGCGCAAGCCUGAUCCAGCCAUGCCGCGUGAGUGAUGAAGGCCCUAGGGUUGUAAAGCUCUUUCACCGGUGAAGAUAAUGACGGUAACCGGAGAAGAAGCCCCGACUAACUUCGUGCCAGCAGCCGCGGUAAUACGAAGGGGGCUAGCGUUGUUCGGAUUUACUGGGCGUAAAGCGCACGUAGGCGGACUAUUAAGUCAGGGGUGAAAUCCCGGGGCUCAACCCCGGAACUGCCUUUGAUACUGGUAGUCUUGAGUUCGAGAGAGGUGAGUGGAAUUCCGAGUGUAGAGGUGAAAUUCGUAGAUAUUCGGAGGAACACCAGUGGCGAAGGCGGCUCACUGGCUCGAUACUGACGCUGAGGUGCGAAAGCGUGGGGAGCAAACAGGAUUAGAUACCCUUGUAGUCCGAU
rnacentral:rRNA from 1 species